AUUGAACGCUGGCGGCAUGCCUUACACAUGCAAGUCGAACGGUAACAGGUUAAGCUGACGAGUGGCGAACGGGUGAGUAAUGUAUCGGAACGUGCCCAGUCGUGGGGGAUAACUACUCGAAAGGGUGGCUAAUACCGCAUACGACCUGAGGGUGAAAGCGGGGGACCGUAAGGCCUCGCGCGAUUGGAGCGGCCGAUAUCAGAUUAGCUAGUUGGUGGGGUAAAAGCCCACCAAGGCGACGAUCUGUAGCUGUCUGAGAGGACGACCAGCCACACUGGGACUGAGACACGGCCCAGACUCCUACGGGAGGCAGCAGUGGGGAAUUUUGGACAAUGGACGCAAGUCUGAUCCAGCCAUGCCGCGUGCGGGAAGAAGGCCUUCGGGUUGUAAACCGCUUUUGUCAGGGAAGAAACGAGUUUCUCUAAUACAGAGACUUAAUGACGGUACCUGAAGAAUAAGCACCGGCUAACUACGUGCCAGCAGCCGCCGUAAAAC
rnacentral:rRNA from 1 species